AGCAGCCGCGGUAAUUCCAGCUCCAAUAGCGUAUAUUAAAGUUGUUGCAGUUAAAAAGCUCGUAGUUGAAUUUCGGGACCAAUUUGUUGGUCGUGCCUCGGUACGUACUGGUAUUAUUGGUUCCUCCCUUCUGAAGAACCUCGAUGCCAUUAAUUUGGUGUCGUGGGGAAUCAGGACUGUUACUUUGAAAAAAUUAGAGUGUUUAAAGCAAGCAUACGCUUGAAUACAUUAGCAUGGAAUAAUGAAAUAGGACGUUUGAUUCUAUUUUGUUGGUUUCUAGGAUUCGACGUAAUGAUUAAUAGGGAUAGUUGGGGGCAUUAGUAUUCAAUUGUCAGAGGUGAAAUUCUUGGAUUUAUUGAAGACUAACUACUGCGAAAGCAUUUGCCAAGGAUG
rnacentral:rRNA from 1 species